AAAUUCUAAAGCGUUUCAACUGUUCAAAAUUGUUUUAGUCUUGCAAAAGUUCAGAGUUCAAAGAGUACUUAAAACCUUUCUCAAAACAUUUCAAAAUAAAACUUGUCAAUAGACAUUCAGGUUCUUUCAAAGUCAUUGAAACUUCUUUAAUUGAAACCCCCAAGUCAAAUUCAAAGGCAUAAACCCUUUUCGCAUUCAAACAGCUUUAAAACACAAGUUUCAUCUAAAUAACUUUCUCUUGAAAGAGAUACAAUGCCUUUCUUAAGAAGCAAGACUAAAUCACAAUUUC
rnacentral:lncRNA from 1 species